rnacentral:lncRNA from 1 species
ACAUAAGCAAGAUAAGCUUCACACCCUUUUCUCAUGUAUUUUUGAGCCGACUAUGCGUAAUCACCGUAGGUAAUUUACUUGAUUCAUUUGUUUCAACCCGAAGAAUUUCACCAUUUUCACACUUCAAUUCAAGGAUUUUCUGCCUACAAUUUACCUUGGCAUCAUGCAACAUCAACCAAUCCAUCCCCAGAAUAACAUCAAACUCAUCAAAUGGUAACA